AUGCGCGUUGGGAACUGUAGUCCUUGGCGUGGCGCUGCGCCUGGGCAGCCCCGGGCGGGGCGGGAGCGGCUCCCCCGGGGCUAUCCCGGUCCCGGGAUCCCGGGGUGCCGCCCCCCGCCUUGGCUGCGCCGGGCUCUGCGCUGGGGCGGAGCCAUUCCACCUGCGUGGGCCUGCCUGGCCCUGGCGAGCCGCUGCCUGCCCGCCUGCCGGGGCCCACCGCGGAACUCAGGCUUUGGGGCGCUUUUGGUUUAUUUUCUGCUUCUGUAAAUAAAAUCCCCAGCAGACACCGUCCAACAGACGGGCGUGGCCAGGGCGUACGCGUCCCGGUUUUCGUUUCCAGGCAGCGCCUCGGGAUUCACGAUGUGAAUCAUGCUGCUGUUUGACAUAUACUCCGAGUGCAGCAGACAGCAGAGAUGUGCAUUGCUGGAAUCCAGAGGGUUUCGUAAUUUGGCAGCCACUUGCUGAAAGCCCUGCAGAUACAAAACAACACUUAUUUCAAGUCUUGAGAAACAUCUCCUACUAAGUAGAAGAAAAGAGCAUUUAGGUGAAGCAAUGUUGCCAGUCCCAUUUAUUUAUGAGGCUUGGUUUUUGUCUUUAUACAUUUUAAAUGCUUUUUAUUUUCCUUCUGCUUUUUGAGCCUUUCAAGUUCAUGUUUUCCAUAUGACAAGAAAGUCUGGAAUCAAGUCCUUACUUUAAAAAGCAAAAAUUUGGUUCAGAGUCCUGUAUAAUCAUGUAGCUCCAGACAUGGAGUGUUUAAAAAUAAAGCCACUUUGAUGAGAACUACCCAUCUUGAAGGUGACUUUCUGUUCUGAGUUUAAGUAAAUAUUUUGUUGACGGUUUAAGAAGCUUUUAACAGCACCUGAUCUGUGUUUGCUUUCCACUUGGAUCUCUCCCUCUUUUCUUUUUUUCUAAAAAUCUAGAGCUUGUUUCACCUCUCUGUGUGCUGACAAGAUCAGAAAUGCAGUGUGGCAGCAUUUGUUGAACAAUGCAUCCCAGUGCUUUCAGACACACACCUGCAGAUUUCAUGCAAUUGUCCCUGAAGCUGCUGAGUGUGGGAUCCUCAAGCUGUAUGCAAAAGGCAAAGAGACGUGCCUGGUAAUGCAUUAUCCAAGGGACACAGAAACAGCUUUUUGACAGGCCACUCUUCCUGCUAACACCUGGUAAAUGCAGAGACCUGGCUCCAUGUAAGUCCCAUUCUGGUCUCCUAAGCCAAAUGCUCUACACUGGCAUUUCUAGGAGGUUACUGCUCUGCUCGUGGGGUUUGAAUCGCUCAAGUCUUUGGCCUCGUGCCCUGAAGUGCCAGCAGAGGCUUGCUGUAAUUGCCCGUAAGUGCACCGUCUGUCAGAUUAUUGUUUAAUUGUUCCAGCUUCUCACUGCCACACACUGCUCAGUGUCUCUCUUGCUAUCUUUAUUUAAUUGAGUGGAAGAAAAUUGAGACUUGUGCUUCACUUACAUCGCUUUGUUUUUACCCAUCCUUGCUGCAUCCUACUAUGAAGUCCCACCUUUUGUUUGCAGAAGUCAGUCUUCUAUAUAGAAAAGCUAUUGUCACUAUCUCAAGCAUAUGUUAGAAAGAGAAUCAAUAUUUUAACACAUGGUAAAGUCAAAUCAUAAAUCUCUUAACACAGUCAAAUGACUGUAUUAUUCUCCCUUGAAACACCACUCCUCCCCCUGAGAAACAAGAGAGGGAAAGAAAACUCUUGGAUAACCAAGCCCUUGUCCUCACAAUGCAGGACUGUUCUUAGCCCUUUGCUCUGUGUCGCUCCUUCCUCUUCAAGAUCCGUCUUUCCCUAGCCCAUCCCUGUUCAUCUGUUCCAGACUAUUACUGGGAUAUCAGCUCUUUUCCUGAGAUCAGCUUGUGAUGACCAGUUCCACUGCCUACUUGCUGCCAUUUCAAACAUCUCUGUGCUUCCUCCCAGCCUUGCAACCAGGCUCUUAAUAAUGUGUGUUGAAAAAAUAAUCUUUCUGAGCUCUCUCCAACACUCUCCUUGUGCGUAUGGCCUAUAAAAAAAGCUUGGCAGCACUCUGACUGCUUUUCUCUCC